CUGGGCUCUGGUGUCCAGUCAUGAAACGCCACUUCACAGACCACAGGGGAGAACAAUCACCAACAGAUGGGACCAGCCUUAGCUUGGCCAGCCCAGAGCCCACGGGGGAGAGUGUGGAAGUGUGCGGUUCAGGGACCGUGGAGAGAGAGGAGACGCCUUCACGGUCGGGGCCGGCCAUUCCCCACGAGGAGAACGUGUGCUUGGCCCACAGGGCUCCUGCGAUGCUGAGCUGGAGCGGCUCCUCAUCCUCCCGGUCCUCCUCCGAGUAUCAGUCUUACUCCCAGUACCAGUCUUGCUACUCCUGCCUGUACGCCGACGAGGACACGGCCCAGCGAAGUGCGUGCGCCUUCUACACCCACGUGCAGACGGUGCAGGGCGUGGCCGUGGCCUGGGAGACCGAGUCGGGCUUUGAGCCGGUCAGCCGGAAGCCCCGCAUUCACGAGGCCGAGUUCGUCAAGAGGCAGAGGAGGAAAGGCUCCUCCUUUGAGAUGGCUUCCAACAGCGACCUGUGCUGGGAACUGGAAGCCAGCAAGAGCCACUGCUGCCCAGAGCAGGAUGACGCGGAGCUGCUGGGGCCUCUGGAGUGCUGCCCGCAGGAGCUGCGGGACACCCCGGACUGGCUGGUCACCACGGACUACGGGCUGCGCUGCGUGGCCUGCUGUCGGGUCUUCCCCACGUUGGAGGCUCUGCUCAAGCACGCCCAGUAUGGCAUCCAAGAGGGCUUCAGCUGCCAGAUCUUUUUUGAAGAGAUGCUGGAGAGAAGGCGGGCUCGGGGCCAAGACCGGGAGCAGAAGCUGGAGGAGGAGGAACAGAGCCCUUCAGAGGGCAGUGAAUGUUCGCGGCCCCAGGCCAGGGCGCUUCCCUCGUAGGGGCAGCACGAGCAGUGAGCCAGAGAUUAAGUAGCAGCAGCUGGAGAUCCCGGGAAAAUGAUGGGCGUUCAGAAUAAAUGAAAGAUGACAGGAACCUUGGGGUGCCAAGAUAAUUCAAUGGGGAAAGAAUAACCUUGUCAGCAAAUAGUGCUGGGACAACUGGGUAUCGAUAUGCAAAAGAGUGAAGUUGGAUCCCUACCUCACACCGUAUGUAAACAUUAAAAUGAAAAAGACCUACUGCAGCAGUUAAAACUAUAAAACUCUUAAAGGAAGACAGAGAUGUAAAUCUCCAUGAUGUUGGAUCAGGCAAUGGUCUCUUAGAUAUGACACUGAGAGCACAAGGAAACAGAAAAAUAGAAGUUGGAUUUCACCAAAAUUAAAAACUUUUGUGUUCAAAGGACAUUAUCAAGAAAAUGAGAAACAACCCACAGAAUGGGAGAGAAUACUUGCACAUCCCACAUGACCUCUUAUAAUAAAAUACAAGCAUUCCAAUUAAAAGAUGAGCAGAAGACUUAAAAGAUAUUUCCUCAAAACAGAUAUACACAUGACCAAUAAGCACACGAAAAGAUGCUCAACAUCAUUUGGUUGUAGGAAUGUACAAUGGUGCAGCCACUUUAGAAAACAUCCUGGCAGUUCCUCAAAAGGUCAAAAAUGGAGUUACUAUAUGAUCCAGCAAUUCUGAUAAUUGAAAACAGGCCCACACAAAAGCUUGCACUUCAAUAUUCAUAGCAACAUUAUUUCUAAUACAAAAAAGUAAAAACAACCUACAUGACCAUCAAAUGAUGCAUGGAGAAACAAAACAUCGUAUAUCCAUACAAUGGCAUAUUUUACAGUCAUAGAAAGGAAAAAAAAUAAAAAGAUGAAGGUCCCAUGCUACAACACGGAUGAACCUUGAAAACAGUAUGCUAAGGAAAAUAA